rnacentral:lncRNA from 8 species
UCACUUCCAUGUCCUUCCACAGUCUCAUCGGUACAGUCAGCCCCAGAUGAGCAUCUGUCCCAGGGGGAGAUCAAGGCCCUGCUCCCCCGGAGGCUGGUGGAGAGGCUAGAGGAUGUGAGGGCAGCGUUCAAAGGCCUGGACCCUGAGGGGAGCGGCUCAGUGACCCGGGGGGAGUUCAGACAGGUGGUGGAGGCCUUCCUCUUCCCCCUCACGCAGACCCAGCUCAACGCCAUGCUGGCCAUGAUUGGGAGCAACCUGAAGAAUGUAAUCCGGGCCUUUCGUCUGUUCGACUACAACCCGAGACGGACAGAUCCAGCAACACGAGCUGCGCAGGAUACUGGAGAACUACUGCUUCCCUUUAACACAGAGAGACUACCAGAGAUAAAACGGACUAUGAUUUCAUCUCCUCUCCACUGCAGACUGUGGACCCACUAAAGCCCUAACGUCAUGGCAACAAUGUCCUACAAAGUGUUCCUGGAGAAGCUGGGCCUGGAAUCUAAC